GCAAACUUGGUCAUUUAGAGGAAGUAAAAGUCGUAACAAGGUUUCCGUAGGUGAACCUGCGGAAGGAUCAUUACAGUGCUCGUCGGGCCGUCGCGCCCCCUUCAGGCGUGGGCGUCUCGCACCUGCCCAACCGUGUCUACCGUUUCCCUUGUUGCCUCGGCGGGACUGCCGGGCAGGAGGCCGCCUUACUGUGGGCCAGGACUCCUGCACGCGGCCCCCCGCGUUACCUGACGCGGUGCCACGCUACCCCGAUCAGCGCCCGCCAGAGGGACCCUUCUGAAAUCUGUGAAUGUAGUGUUGUCUGAGCCACCUAGUGAAAUACAGUUAAAACUUUCAACAACGGAUCUCUUGGUUCUGGCAUCGAUGAAGAACGCAGC
rnacentral:misc_RNA from 1 species